rnacentral:rRNA from 1 species
AUACGGAGGGUGCAAGCGUUAUUCGGAAUCACUGGGCGUAAAGGACGCGUAGGCGGGUUGGCAAGUCAGAUGUGAAAUCCUACAGCUUAACUGUAGAACUGCAUUUGAAACUGCUAACCUAGAGUAUGGGAGGGGGAGAUGGAAUUAGUGGUGUAGGGGUAAAAUCCGUAGAUAUCACUAGGAAUACCGAAAGCGAAGGCGAUCUCCUAGAACAUAACUGACGCUAAGGCGUGAAAGCGUGGGGAGCAAACAGGAUUAGAAACCCUAGUAGUCC